AAUCAACGCUGGCGGCGUGCCUCAGACAUGCAAGUCGAACGAUUAAAGCUCCCUUCGGGGAGUGCAUAGAGUGGCGCACGGGUGAGUAACACGUAAGUAAUCUACCUUUGAGUGGGGAAUAACGUUCGGAAACGGACGCUAAUACCGCAUAAUGCAGCGGCAUCGCAAGAUGACAGUUGUUAAAGGAGCAAUCCGCUUAAAGAGGAGCUUGCGGCAGANAGCUUGUUGGUAAGGUAACGGCUUACCAAGGCUACGAUCUGUAUCCGGUCUAAGAGGACGGUCGGACACACUGACACUGAAUAACGGGUCAGACUCCUACGGGAGGCAGCAGUCGGAAUUUUGGGCAAUGGGCGAAAGCCUGACCCAGCAACGCCGCGUGAAGGAU
rnacentral:rRNA from 1 species